rnacentral:rRNA from 1 species
GUCUAUGGCCAUGUUACCCUGAACAAGCCCAAUCCCGUCUGAUUUCAGAAGCUAAGCAGAGUAAGGCCUGGUUAGUACUUGGAUGAGACACCUAGGAAGACCAGAUGCUGUAGGCA